rnacentral:rRNA from 1 species
GACGGGGGGGGCAAGUGUUCUUCGGAAUGACUGGGCGUCAAGGGCACGUAGGCGGUGAAUCGGGUUGAAAGUGGAAGUCGCCAAAAAGUGGCGGAAUGCUCUCGAAACCAAUUCACUUGAGUGGGACAGAGGAGAGUGGAAUUCCACGUGUAGCAGUGAAAUGCGUAGAGAUGUGGAGGAACACCGAUGGCGAAGGCAGCCCCCUGGGCUAACACUGACGCUCAUGCACGAAAGCGUGGGGAGCAAACAGG